UUGAACGCUGGCGGCAUGCCUUACACAUGCAAGUCGAACGGCAGCACGGACUUCGGUCUGGUGGCGAGUGGCGAACGGGUGAGUAAUACAUCGGAACGUGCCUAGUAGUGGGGGAUAACUACUCGAAAGAGUGGCUAAUACCGCAUGAGAUCUACGGAUGAAAGCAGGGGAUCGUAAGACCUUGUGCUACUAGAGCGGCCGAUGGCAGAUUAGGUAGUUGGUGGGAUAAAAGCUUACCAAGCCAACGAUCUGUAGCUGGUCUGAGAGGACGAUCAGCCACACUGGGACUGAGACACGGCCCAGACUCCUACGGGAGGCAGCAGUGGGGAAUUUUGGACAAUGGGCGAAAGCCUGAUCCAGCAAUGCCGCGUGCAGGAUGAAGGCCUUCGGGUUGUAAACUGCUUUUGUACGGAACGAAAAGCUUCGGGUUAAUACCCUGGAGUCAUGACGGUACCGUAAGAAUAAGCACCGGCUAACUACGUGCCAGCAGCCGCGGUAAUACGUAGGGUGCAAGCGUUAAUCGGAAUUACUGGGCGUAAAGCGUGCGCAGGCGGUUUUGUAAGACAGAGGUGAAAUCCCCGGGCUCAACCUGGGAACUGCCUUUGUGACUGCAAGGCUAGAGUACGGCAGAGGGGGAUGGAAUUCCGCGUGUAGCAGUGAAAUGCGUAGAUAUGCGGAGGAACACCGAUGGCGAAGGCAAUCCCCUGGGCCUGUACUGACGCUCAUGCACGAAAGCGUGGGGAGCAAACAGGAUUAGAUACCCUGGUAGUCCACGCCGUAAACGAUGAGAACUAGGUGUUGGGGGAAUAACUCAGUGCCGCAGUUAACGCAAUAAGUUCUCCGCCUGGGGAGUAUGCACGCAAGUGUGAAACUCAAAGGAAUUGACGGGGGCCCGCACAAGCGGUGGAGUAUGUGGUUUAAUUCGAAGCAACGCGAAGAACCUUACCAGGCCUUGACAUCCCUUGCAGAGGUAUAGAGAUAUAUCCGAGGUUAUCAAGGAGACAGGUGGUGCAUGGUUGUCGUCAGCUCGUGUCGUGAGAUGUUGGGUUAAGUCCCGCAACGAGCGCAACCCUUGCCAUUAGUUGCUACGAAAGGGCACUCUAAUGGGACUGCCGGUGACAAACCGGAGGAAGGUGGGGAUGACGUCAAGUCCUCAUGGCCCUUAUAGGUGGGGCUACACACGUCAUACAAUGGCUGGUACAAAGGGUUGCCAACCCGCGAGGGGGAGCUAAUCCCAUAAAGCCAGUCGUAGUCCGGAUCGCAGUCUGCAACUCGACUGCGUGAAGUCGGAAUCGCUAGUAAUCGUGGAUCAGCAUGUCACGGUGAAUACGUUCCCGGGUCUUGUACACACCGCCCGUCACACCAUGGGAGCGGGUCUCGCCAGAAGUAGGUAGCCUAACCGCAAGGAGGGCGCUUACCACGGCGGGGUUCGUGACUGGGGUG
rnacentral:rRNA from 1 species